rnacentral:tRNA from 1 species
GGGUGUAUAGCUCAGUUGGUGGAGCAUCGGGCCUUGAAUGGUCGCAGGUUCGAGGACUUUUAGACACA